AGGGUCCAAAGCGAUGCAUUGGCUAGCAUAGGAUCAGUCCCAGCCAGCGGAACCAACUCAACUAUGCGAAUUACCUAGCGCAAGAUUCCAGGAGGUGCCCACAACCAAGCUUCAGCUUCAAUCACAAUGUUUAGAGGCUGUGCUUUACAUCCGUCAGUGUCCGAAGGACCGGUGCCCUACUGCCAGCUCGGCCGAUGGCCGACUGCGGCCCGGUGUGUUCACUGCGGGGCCGUUGGCCAAACGCUGACGCAGAGCCGUCCCAGCACCCUGGCGUGGCUCUCCUGCAGUAUCCUCACAGCGCUGUGCUUUCCCUACUGUUGCUGUUGCAUACCAUUGGCGCCGCUGUUCAUGCCUGGCUGCCAGCAAGUGACCCACCGGUGCACCAGUUGUGGAUUUGUGCUGAGAAGUACAGGCCCCUGGUAAACUGGGCAUCACCGUACGGAGGACUGGCUGACAUCUGGUGGUCGCACUUCUAAUCUACUAUGGAUGCACCCGAGACGCAGGGCACAUUGCUCUUGACGGCGAUUCGGCUCAGUGGAGAAGAGUAUAACCGGUUGAGAUGCACAAAGUUCCACUUAA